rnacentral:rRNA from 1 species
GACGACCGCUGGCGGCGUGCUUAACACAUGCAAGUCGAACGGAAAGGCCCUGCUUUUGUGGGGUGCUCGAGUGGCGAACGGGUGAGUAACACGUGAGUAACCUGCCCUUGACUUUGGGAUAACUUCAGGAAACUGGGGCUAAUACCGGAUCGGAGCUCCCGCUGCAUGGUGGGGGUUGGAAAGUUUCGGCGGUUGGGGAUGGACUCGCGGCUUAUCAGCUUGUUGGUGGGGUAGUGGCUUACCAAGGCUUUGACGGGUAGCCGGCCUGAGAGGGUGACCGGCCACAAUGGGACUGAGGGACGGCCCAGACUCCAACAGGGGGCAGCAGUGGGGAAUAUUGCACAAUGGGCGGGAGCCUGAUGCAGCAACGCCGCGUUCGGGAUGACGGCCUUCGGGUUGUAAACCGCUUUCGCCUGUGACGAAGCGUGAGUGACGGUAAUGGGUAAAGAAGCACCGGCUAACUACGUG